UCAUCUCAGUGCCACAGAUGAGUGAUGUUAUUGGUUGUCUAAUAACAUCAGUGUCUCCAAGACACUCUUAGAUUUUACGUUUCACCUGUCUGCAACAUCCAGUACACCCACUAAGUAAAAGAACCACUAAACAGCAUUAAACCUCUAUAAGUGCACCACAGUGACAUAGCUGAUAUGGGCAUUUGAUAGCUAAUAGGUAUGUCAGUGCAGGCCUGCCUUUGAGCACGGAUCACCAACAAGCUCCUGGUAUGAAUGGGAUACAAAUAUCACACAUGCAUCGUCACGCCAACAAGGCUUAGACAGUAAAGACUUAAACCGCUGCAGCCACAUGAGACAAGGCGCCUGCAAAACUCCCCCAAAACAAGAUGUGACCUUACAGCACUUAUCUGGGACUCGCAGUCUCCAUUAGUAGUAAGACGCUCGGCAGUUUUCAGCCAGGUGCAUUUAUUUAUUUAUUUGUGUCCUUUUAAUCCUUUGUGGUUUCGUUGGUCUUCCUGUACCAUCAAUUUAAAGUAAUUAAUUGAAUGAUGUGACGCUUUGCAAGUGCUUAAUCGCUGACAGGCACGUACAGCGUCUGCUCAAACUGAGUCUCUCCAAGGAGAAAUCAAAUCCAGAGACAACAACAUCGACUGGUGCAGCGCUGCAUCCGUUAACCGCAAGAAGAGGGGGAAAAGGAGAGGGGGGGAAGAGUCCAAUAUCUGCACAGAACCGAAAAAGAGAUCGAAAGGAUCCGGCAUGUGCCCAGCUUUGAUGCUUAGUGGUCCUGGAUACCAGUAUGCGAGGUCCCAGAUGCUAUUCCAGCUGGAAUGGGAACAAAUCAAGCCCUGGAUGAUUAUGCAGGUGCAGACCAGAAUGAUGAUGGGCAGCUGAGGACCAGUGAACUGGGUGAGAGGUUGCAGUUUGGGGAAGGUUCUGCAGCACCUCCUAGUUAAAUGGUUUCUGGCAGAAUAUCUAUGCAUGACCAA
rnacentral:lncRNA from 1 species